rnacentral:rRNA from 1 species
GAGUGCGCGCUUGUAGCAAUACAGUGGCGCACGGCGCACGGGUGCGUACACGUGGGUAACCUGCCCUUUGGUGGGGAAUAACCUCGCGAAAGCGAGGCUAAUUCCGCAUAAGAUCCGCAAGGAUGAAAGCCGCAAGGCGCCGAAGGAGGGGCCCGCGCACGAUUAGUUAGUUGGUAGGGUAACGGCCUACCAAGACUAUGAUCGUUAGCUGGUCUGAGAGGAUGGCCAGCCACACUGGAACUGAGACACGGUCCAGACUCCUACGGGAGGCAGCAGUGGGGAAUCUUGCGCAAUGGGCGAAAGCCUGACGCAGCGACGCCGCGUGGGGGAUGAAGCUUCUCGGAGUGUAAACCCCUUUCGACUGGGACGAAUACCUCGCAAGAGGGGUGACGGUACCAGUAGAAGAAGCCCCGGCUAACUACGUGCCAGCAGCCGCGGUAAG